rnacentral:rRNA from 1 species
AUUGAACGCUGGCGGCAGGCUUAACACAUGCAAGUCGAGCGGCGAGAGGUAGCUUGCUACUGAUCUUAGCGGCGGACGGGUGAGUAAUGCUUAGGAAUCUGCCUAUUAGUGGGGAACAACAUUUCGAAAGGAAUGCUAAUACCGCAUACGCCCUACGGGAGAAAGCAGGGGAUCUUCGGACCUUGCGCUAAUAGAUGAGCCUAAGUCGGAUUAGCUAGUUGGUGGGGUAAAGGCCUACCAAGGCGACGAUCUGUAGCGGGUCUGAGAGGAUGAUCCGGCACACAGGAACUGAGACACGGCCCAGACUCGGACGGGAGGCAGCAGUGGGGAAUAAUGGACAAUGGGCGGAAGCCUGAUCCAGCCAUGCCGCGUGUGUGAAGAAGGCCUUAUGGUUGUAAAGCACUUUAAGCGAGGAGGAGGCUACUUUAGUUAAUACCUAGAGAUAGUGGACGUUACUCGCAGAAUAAGCACCGGCUAACUCUGUGCCAGCAGCCGCGGUAACAC